CGGCAGGUCUUACACGACCAGCUCCUGCUAAAUCUCCCAGGGUCGGAAGGCAGCAAGAGUAGGCGGUUGUAGCGGUGCGAUGUGAGUAGCCUGCCUUUU
rnacentral:SRP_RNA from 1 species